UUUGAUUUCAAGUGUUUUAUUAAAAAAAUCGAAAUUAAGCACUUCAAUCUAAAAAUAUUUGUGAAAAUACCAAAAUACCCCUUGUCUUUCCCCACUUUAUAACAAAGUUAUCCCCAAGUGCAAGGUAAGUUCCAUCUUAAACUCUAUCCUCUACGGAAGGAGAAAAAGGUAAAUUCAGUUUUUUUAAAAUUUUAUUUCUAUUAUUUUUUUAUUUUAUUUUGGCGGGUAUAAAAAGAGGACAAGACAGACCAAUUGGGCAAUUAGGGCUCAAAAGUUUGAAUCUCGCCAUUUCCCUCCAUUUUCUGACCAUGGCGAACUUCUGAUCUUCUCUGAUCUUCUCCGGAUUUCACCACUUCACGGCUCUAACAAUCUCAUUCUCUGAUCUUCUGAUCUUCUGAUCUUAUCGGAGCUUUAGGAACUGGCUUUUAGAUCUUCAAUGGCGAUGCUCUCGUUGUUUUCUUUUUCUCCGUUUACAGCAUUUGGUCUUCAUCUCUACUGCUUCACUGCCGAGAAUCUUCCGGUGCUGUUCCAUUUCUACCGCUACUGAUUUCAAGUAAGGCAAGGAAGUAGAAGCAGAAGAAAUCCAAGAAUCUUAAGGCGAAUACCUCUGUUUCGAAAUCAUCGGAGUCUUCUUCUUUAUCUUCGAAGUUAGCUUUGGUGAAGGAGAAAAGGACUCGCUCCACCAAGGAGUUUGAUGAGAUCACUGUCCAGUUCGGCGACACUGCUGCUCACAUCCCGGUGACGCUUUUGGAAGUAUUGGACGUAUGCUCUGCUUCUUCCGGAAGGCCGCUAUGCUCCUUUGUAGAUUGCACCGUCGGUGCAGAUAAUUCAAGCACAUCCAGAGUUGAAAUUUUACUUGCAAAUGGAAGUCAUACAAUUGCACUUCAUAAGGCCGAAGAUCGGAUUAGUGCUUUCUUCAGCGAGGAUUCUGAUUUGAAGGCAUUCGUACUUCUGAAGAACUGUAAAUACAUGAAAUCGCUACUGGCUGACUCAGACGAGAAACCUGUAGAUCCUGGAGUUGACGGAAUUUUGAUGUAUUUAGGAAUGUCAUCCAUGCAGGCUGCUUAGGUGGACGAUCCUGAAAGGGGAAUUAGUGUCUUUGGUGAUGAACCUCUUGAUAUGUGAAUGGAUCCUCAGGAUUAUGGCAGGCAAGUCUAAUGGCAGAGGACAUUCUUAACAGUUGGCCGGAAAUAGAAGUGGGACGUGAUCUUGCGGGUUUAUGGAGAAUAAAGUAACUGGUAUUCACUCCAGAAUAAGAUCGUAAAAGCUCGAUCACAGGGGGGUGGACUGCAUUCCUCCGGUGAAUUAGUUGAUCUUCUUAUCCGAAAAUCCACUUUGGGCUGAAAAGGUAUUAGAAGACGCGGCCCUGUAUACAUAUCAUUUCUAUCCACAGUUUGGAGGGUAGGGUUGUGAAGCAAACAUUUCUGGAUAUCAUAAUCCCGAAAACCGAAGGAGAUGACUGAUCUAUAGGAAGAAGAGAGGUUGAAUCGGCGCUGUAGGAAUGCUAUGCUAAGCUCAAGGUAAUUCGGAAGAAUAAUGUUUUGUCUUCUGAUGGGAAACCAGUGAGUGUGCGGACUUCAUUAUUAUGGCCAUCUGGUAGGGUGCACAUCAAGGCCAGUCAGCGAAUCUGCACAACAUCCCCUUGAAACGUUGGGAAAUGGUUUCCCAGAUAAAACUACCUGAAGGGGACACAGACGAUCAAUGUUAGUUGAUAGAGUAUGCAGCCAGCAAUGGAUAAUCAAAAACUAAUUAUUCCUCAUAAUGCAAUUGUUGCAAACGAAUGUAAAAUGCUAUUGUUCUUGUAAACUCUAUAAGUUGGAAACAAACUAAAUGGGAAUGAAAUCAGAUACCUGAGUGGAAUGAUGGUUGAAAAAUCCGGUAAUCAA